rnacentral:lncRNA from 1 species
ACCCUUAGAAACUGUCCGUUGUGUUUUGUUGAACCUGGUACAUUUUUUUUCUUGAAUAUAUGUGAUUCGUUAUUGUGAGUUGUUACAGUUGGCUCGUGUGUACCUAACUGAGUCCAGGAGCUAGAAAAAAAUCAGCCAACUUUAGUAGUACUGAAAUACGCGGCACGUUCAUCGUUUUUGCUAAAAAAAGCAUGUUCACUGUUUACAUUAUUGGCCUGGUGGGUGCUAUGGUCACAAACUCACAGUAGACUAACAAAUACAGCAGGCG